rnacentral:rRNA from 1 species
CUACGGAGGGUGCAAGCGUUAAUCGGAAUUACUGGGCGUAAAGCGCGCGUAGGCGGCUGAUUAAGUCGGAUGUGAAAUCCCUGGGCUCAACCUAGGAACUGCAUCCGAUACUGGUCAGCUAGAGUUUUGGAGAGGUAAGUGGAAUUUCCGGUGUAGCGGUGAAAUGCAUAGAGAUCGGAAGGAACACCAGUGGCGAAGGCGACUUACUGGCCAAAAACUGACGCUGAGGUGCGAAAGCGUGGGUAGCGAACAGGAUUAGAAACCCCUGUAGUCC